rnacentral:rRNA from 1 species
AUUCCAGCCCCAAUAGCGUAUAUUAAUGUUGCUGCAGUUAAAAAGCUCGUAGUUGGAUUUCUGGUAUGAUGCGCCUGGUCCGCCCCGUUUAGGUGUGUGAGUACCGGUGCGCGUCUGCCAUCCUUCUAGAGAGCGUGUCUACCCUUCACUGGGCCGGGCACGUCAUCUGGAUCGUUUACUUUGGAAAAAUUAGAGUGUUUCAAGCAGGCAUACUCGCUUUGAAUACAUUAGCAUGGAAUAAUAAGAUAGGACUUGGGUCCUAUUUUGUUGGUUUCUAGGACCGAAGUAAUGAUUGAUAGGGACAGUUGGGGGUGCUAGUAUUCCACGGCCAGAGGUGAAAUUCUUGGAUUCGGUCAAGACUAACUUAUGCGAAAGCAUUCACCAAGGAUGUCUUCAUUG